ACAGAUCGUUCUAGAGUUUGAUCCUGGCUCAGGACAACGCUGCGGCGUGCUUAACACAUGCAAGUCGAACGGAACUCUUUGGAUCAAGGCUUCGGCCAAGUGAAUUUGAGUUUAGUGGCGGACGGGUGAGUAACGCGUGAGGAACCUGCCUUUCAGAGGGGGACAACAGUUGGAAACGACUGCUAAUACCGCAUAACGCAUAUUGAUCGCAUGGUCGAUAUGCCAAAGAUUUAUCGCUGAAAGAUGGCCUCGCGUCUGAUUAGCUAGUUGGUGAGGUAACGGCCCACCAAGGCGACGAUCAGUAGCCGGACUGAGAGGUUGACCGGCCACAUUGGGACUGAGAUACGGCCCAG
rnacentral:rRNA from 1 species